AUUGAACGCUGGCGGCAUGCCUUACACAUGCAAGUCGAACGGCAGCGCGGGAGCAAUCCUGGCGGCGAGUGGCGAACGGGUGAGUAAUACAUCGGAACGUGCCCAAUCGUGGGGGAUAACGCAGCGAAAGCUGUGCUAAUACCGCAUACGAUCUACGGAUGAAAGCAGGGGAUCGCAAGACCUUGCGCGAAUGGAGCGGCCGAUGGCAGAUUAGGUAGUUGGUGAGGUAAAGGCUCACCAAGCCUUCGAUCUGUAGCUGGUCUGAGAGGACGACCAGCCACACUGGGACUGAGACACGGCCCAGACUCCUACGGGAGGCAGCAGUGGGGAAGUUUGGACAAUGGGCGAAAGCCUGAUCCAGCCAUGCCGCGUGCAGGAUGAAGGCCUUCGGGUUGUAAACUGCUUUUGUACGGAACGAAACGGUCUUUUCUAAUAAAGAAGGCUAAUGACGGUACCGUAAGAAUAAGCACCGGCUAACUACGU
rnacentral:rRNA from 1 species